rnacentral:rRNA from 1 species
GACAGAGGGUGCAAACGUUGUUCGGAAUUACUGGGCGUAAAGCGCGUGUAGGCUGUCCCGCAAGUCGGGUGUGAAAGCCCUGGGCUCAACCCAGGAAGUGCACUCGAAACUGCGGGACUCGAGUCCUGGAGAGGAAGGCGGAAUUCUCGGUGUAGAGGUGAAAUUCGUAGAUAUCGAGAGGAACACCGGUGGCGAAGGCGGCCUUCUGGACAGUGACUGACGCUGAGACGCGAAAGCGUGGGGAGCAAACAGG